UACGGAGGGUGCAAGCAUUAAUCGGAUUUAUUGGGCGUAAAGGGCGCGUAGGCUGAAUGGUAAGUCAGAUGUGAAAUUCCGAAGCUCAACUUCGGAGCUGCAUUUGAAACUGCCAAUCUAGAGGGUAGGCGGAGAAAACGGAAUUCCACGUGUAGCGGUGAAAUGCGUAGAUAUGUGGAAGAACACCUGUGGCGAAAGCGGUUUUCUAGCUUACAACUGACGCUGAGGCGCGAAAGCAAGGGGAGCAAACAGG
rnacentral:rRNA from 1 species